AAUAGAUACCCGGGUAGUCCACGCCGUAAACGAUGGAUACUAGCUGUUUGAGCGCAAGUUUGAGUGGCUAAGCGAAAGUGAUAAGUAUCCCACCUGGGGAGUACGGGCGCAAGCCUGAAACUCAAAGGAAUUGACGGGGGCCCGCACAAGCGGUGGAGCAUGUAGUUUAAUUCGAUGAUACGCGAGGAACCUUACCAGGGCUUAAAUGUAGAUUGACGUAUUUGGAAACAGAUAUUUCUUCGGACAAUUUACAAGGUGCUGCAUGGUUGUCGUCAGCUCGUGCCGUGAGGUGUCAGGUUAAGUCCUAUAACGAGCGCAACCCCUGUUGUUAGUUGCCAGCGAGUAAUGUCGGGAACUCUAGCAAGACUGCCAGUGUAAACUGUGAGGAAGGUGGGGAUGACGUCAAAUCAUCACGGCCCUUACGUCCUGGGCCACACACGUGCUACAAUGGCCGGUACAGAGAGCAGCCACUUAGCGAUAAGGAGCGAAUCUAUAAAGCCGGUCACAGUUCGGAUCGGAGUCUGCAACG
rnacentral:rRNA from 1 species